rnacentral:lncRNA from 1 species
UAGUUUUAUUAUUAAAGAGUAGGACGAGAUCAUAAAUUUAUAAAUUAUCUUUUUAGGCAAUUAAUUCGUUGGCCAAAUUACCCUUCUGGUACUUUAUUCCUUUCUUUAAGUGUAAUUAGUUUUAUUUUUAGAAGAAGAAAAAGGCAAGAAUUAUGAAUUAUUCGAAUGUUAGAAUCACUGAAGAAGAAGGAAAAAGAUUUUUAUAUUCUUGCUGCAUCUAACACAAUGGAAAAAGAAGAAACUUUUCUUAAACGGAUCUCUUCAGUAAUUGUGCCAAAAGAGGAAAUUCUUCAACAGAAUACCAUACAAGCGGGUAACGUUUUGUUUGUUUUAAUUGUGCCAUCCAUAAUGAAAGAUGUGCGAAACAAAUGGAUUGUGUUGACUGGCUAUUGUGACUUCACUUCCCUUUCAUACAUAUAUAUAUAUAUAUCCAGCAGCAAAACAGUAAUUCCAUUUGUUACAUGUCUCCUACCAAAUUAAUUUAUUGCAUGUAUUGUUGCCUUAAUGACAUAUUUGUUCAACUUUAUUAAUGGAUUACACUCUGUUGCGGUAUGUUACUCGAAAUAUUCGACUUUUCCUGUGUUAUAAAAUGGAUUUUUUUUUAUCCCAUUUCGAGCUUCGCUUCACUAAAAACUUUACUACUUUCCCUCUUCUCCUCUUCCACCUCCUCCUUUUAGUAAAUCCCUAAAGUCAUUAUUUUCAGGAUUUUCUCUAAUAAUUUUGCUAUUUUCUCUAGCUUGAAUCGAUCUUUGACACUUUCUUUUUUCUUUUUCUACCAAAUAAAGAAUAGUUUUAAGUCCCUUUCCUCCUCCUCAACAUCCGACCAUUUCGAUUGACCCCAAACGAGUUAAUAACGUUUACUACUUUUCCUUUUAACUGCAUUUAGUCUAAUUAGUUUGUUUCUCUAGAAAAUUGAAAGGUUUGACGUUGAUUGUGUAGAAAGUGAUAAUGAUAUUAUCUUCAGAAUACCCUUCUGAUGAUUAUCUUAUUUUAAUGACGGUUACUCAAUUACAGCUUGAAGCCAAUCUUUCUUAAUAAUCCCAUCUUUAACGUGUUUUAAUACCUUUAAAAUGUUCUGGCAUUGUUAAUAUACUGAAGUUUUCCUCACUUAAUAUUACUCUAGAAUUAUUUUUUCUACCCUUUUUUUCUCUCUACAAGAAGCCCACAGGCUAACAUUACUUCUUAAUUUCUUUCGUGAUCUUGUUUGUUUAUCUCAAGGCAAUCCACUUGUUGUUCCUCUCAGACUAAUCUUGAUUUUUAUUCCUUCCACGUCGAUACACGCCAUUCUUUCAACUUCUAACCUAUUUCUUACGAGAAAUAAACCCCUGUAGCUUCGAUUAAAAUCGAUUUUUUUUAAUUAUUUACAUUAAAAAUAACCGAAUAAAAUGCUGUUUUCUGUUGAAGCAUUUCAUGAUCUUUCACUAUAACAUCAUAAAAUUCACUUCGUGGAAGCCGAGGAGCUCCAUUCUAAGAAGUUGAUGAUCGUAAAGUUAUAUAAGAAUGUUUACAGUAGAGUGAGUGACUGUUUUUAUUAUUAUUAUUAUUAUAUAUUUUCGUUGAAAGAUGCUUAAAGUACAGUACAUUAAUUAUAAUUUAUUUAUACACACUUCUCUAUAUUUUCUUAUUCCAUUUUAGUGUUGCAGUUCCUUCAAGGAUUACAUAAAACGUUAUAUAUCACUGUUGACAGUAGAUUUUCAGAUGUGAUAGCAGGAAAGGCAAUGUAAUACACCGAUACAAGAAUAUUUACAGGAAGAUAGAAUAUAUUUAAGAUCUUCAAUGACAGUGCUCUUGAGCUUCAUCUAUAUCCUUUUCAUCCUUUUCUCCUGAUAUAUUUGGAAUAUUUAAUAAAAUUUUCUACAUUUCUAACGCUAAGUGAGUAUAAAAAUAAAUAAUUUUACUACUAUUUUUUUCUGUAUGUAUGGAUGUCUGUAUGGGGGAUGGCAGAAUUUUGGUUUACCCUCUUUGAAACUUAAUAACUCCUGUACUUUUAGUCAAAAUUUUCUGAAAUUUUACUGGGAGGUUCGUAUAUUAGGGGGUUUGAUUCUACUAAAUUUUGGUGGUUAAAGGUCGACGGGUUGAGAAGAUAAAGGGGGUCGCGUGUGUAUCUCUAAUAGGAUCGGACUUAAUGACGAUUUUACUUGUUAUCAUCAUUUAUAAUUCUUUUAAAAUAAAAUUCAACCCUACCCUGAAAAUUAAAAAAUAUAUAAAGUUU